rnacentral:rRNA from 1 species
AUUGAACGCUGGCGGCAGGCCUAACACAUGCAAGUCGAGCGGAUGAAGGGAGCUUGCUCCUGGAUUCAGCGGCGGACGGGUGAGUAAUGCCUAGGAAUCUGCCUGGUAGUGGGGGAUAACGUCAGGAAACGGGCGCUAAUACCGCAUACGUCAUGAGGGAGAAAGUGGGGGAUCUUCGGACCUCACGCUAUCAGAUGAGCCUAGGUCGGAUUAGCUAGUUGGUGGGGUAAAGGCCUACCAAGGCGACGAUCCGUAACUGGUCUGAGAGGAUGAUCAGUCACACUGGAACUGAGACACGGUCCAGACUCCUACGGGAGGCAGCAGUAGGGAAUCUUGGACAAUGGGCGAAAGCCUGAUCCAGCCAUGCCGCGUGUGUGAAGAAGGUCUUCGGAUUGUAAAGCACUUUAAGUUGGGAGGAAGGGCAGUAAGUUAAUACCUUGCUGUUUUGACGUUACCAACAGAAUAAGCACCGGCUAACUUCGUG